UCGCCUGUUUUUCAAAAACAUGUCUGUUUGUAGAGUUAAGAAGUCUUGUCUGCCCACUGAGGUUUAAAGGGCUGCGGUAAAUUGACCGUGCGAAGGUAGCAUAAUCAAUAGUCUUUUAAUUGAAGACUGGAAUGAAUGGCGUAAAGAGGAGUAAGCUUUUUUACUUAUAUAAGUUGAAUUUUACUUUUAAGUGAAAAGGCUUAAAUAUAAUUAAGUGACGAUAAGACCCUAUAAAACUUAACAUUGAGGCAGAUUCUCGAGUUUAGGGGGGAAGCGAGAUUGUGUCUAUGUUGUUUGGUUGGGGUGACCCAGAUAUAAUAGGUAACUGUCUUUGGAUAGAAAUAAUUAUAAUUUGUUAUGUGAACCCUUAUUAGGGAUUAAAAGAUUAAGUUACUUUAGGGAUAACAGCGUAAUUUUUUCAGAGAGUCCUUAUCGAAGAGAGUAGUUGCGACCUCGAUGUUGAAUUAAAAUUUCUUUUAAAUGUAGCAGUUUAAUAAGUAGGUCUGUUCGACCUUUAAAAUUUUACAUGAUUUGAGUUCAAACCGGUGUGAGCCAGGUUGGUUUUCUAUCUC
rnacentral:rRNA from 1 species